UGGGGAAUAUUGCACAAUGGGGGAAACCCUGAUGCAGCGACGCCGCGUGGAGGAAGAAGGUCUUCGGAUUGUAAACUCCUGUUGUUGGGGAAGAUAAUGACGGUACCCAACAAGGAAGUGACGGCUAACUACGUGCCAGCAGCCGCGGUAAAACGUAGGUCACAAGCGUUGUCCGGAAUUACUGGGUGUAAAGGGAGCGCAGGCGGGUGAUCAAGUUGGAAGUGAAAUCCAUGGGCUCAACCCAUGAACUGCUUUCAAAACUGAUCGUCUUGAGUAGUGCAGAGGUAGGCGGAAUUCCCGGUGUAGCGGUGGAAUGCGUAGAUAUCGGGAGGAACACCAGUGGCGAAGGCGGCCUACUGGGCACCAACUGACGCUGAGGCUCGAAAGUGUGGGUAGCAAACAGGAUUAGAUACCCUGGUAGUCCACACCGUAAACGAUGAUUACUAGGUGUUGGAGGAUUGACCCCUUCAGUGCCGCAGUUAACACAAUAAGUAAUCCACCUGGGGAGUACGACCGCAAGGUUGAAACUCAAAGGAAUUGACGGGGGCCCGCACAAGCAGUGGAGUAUGUGGUUUAAUUCGACGCAACGCGAAGAACCUUACCAAGUCUUGACAUCCUGCGACGAACAUAGAAAUAUGUUUUUCCUUCGGGACGCAGAGACAGGUGGUGCAUGGUUGUCGUCAGCUCGUGUCGUGAGAUGUUGGGUUAAGUCCCGCAACGAGCGCAACCCUUAUGGUCAGUUACUACGCAAGAGGACUCUGGCCAGACUGCCGUUGACAAAACGGAGGAAGGUGGGGAUGACGUCAAAUCAUCAUGCCCUUUAUGACUUGGGCUACACACGUACUACAAUGGCGUUAAACAAAGAGAAGCAAGACCGCGAGGUGGAGCAAAACUCAGAAACAACGUCCCAGUUCGGACUGCAGGCUGCAACUCGCCUGCACGAAGUCGGAAUUGCUAGUAAUCGCAGAUCAGCAUGCCGCGGUGAAUACGUUCCC
rnacentral:rRNA from 1 species